AAAGUGGAGCAAUCCAUGAGUACAGUGGCGUACGGGUGAGUAACACGUGGAUCAUCUACCUCUUUGUGGGGAAUAACCCUGGGAAACCGGGGAUAAUACCGCAUAAGCCUGAGAAGGGAAAGCAGCAAUGCGCUGAGAGAGGAGUCCGCGGCCGAUUAGCUAGUUGGCAGGGUAAAAGCCUACCAAGGCAGAGAUCGGUAGCCGGCCUGAGAGGGCACACGGCCACACUGGCACUGAAACACGGGCCAGACUCCUACGGGAGGCAGCAGUGGGGAAUCUUGCACAAUGGGGGAAACCCUGAUGCAGCGACGCCGCGUGAGCGAUGAAGCCCUUCGGGGUGUAAAGCUCUUUCGGCAGGGAAGAUUAUGACGGUACCUGCAGAAGCAGCUGCGGCUAACUACGUGCCAGCAGCCGCGGUAAUACGUAGGCAGCAAGCGUUGUUCGGAGUUACUGGGCGUAAAGGGUGUGUAGGCGGUUGUUUAAGUUUGGUGUGAAAUCUCCCGGCUCAACUGGGAGGGUGCGCCGAAUACUGAAUGACUUCGAGUGCGGGAGAGGAUAGUGGAAUUCCUGGUGUAGCGGUGAAAUGCGUAGAUAUCAGGAGGAACACCGGUGGUGUAGACGGCUAUCUGGACCGUAACUGACGCUGAGACACGAAAGCGUGGGUAGCAAACAGGAUUAGAUACCCUGGUAGUCCACGCCCUAAACGAUGCAUAUUUGGUGUGGGUCAUUCAGUUGAUCCGUGCCGGAGCUAACGCGUUAAAUAUGCCGCCUGGGGAGUACAGUCGCAAGGCUGAAACUC
rnacentral:rRNA from 1 species